rnacentral:rRNA from 1 species
UUGGCUACCUGACCUAGCGGCGGACGGGUGAGUAAUGCUUAGGAAUCUGCCUAUUAGUAGGGGGACAACAUUCCGAAAGGAAUGCUAAUACCGCAUACGCCCUACGGGGGAAAGCAGGGGAUCUUCGGACCUUGCGCUAAUAGAUGAGCCUAAGUCAGAUUAGCUAGUUGGUGGGGUAAAGGCCUACCAAGGCGACGAUCUGUAGCGGGUCUGAGAGGAUGAUCCGCCACACUGGGACUGAGACACGGCCCAGACUCCUACGGGAGGCAGCAGUGGGGAAUAUUGGACAAUGGGCGAAAGCCUGAUCCAGCCAUGCCGCGUGUGUGAAGAAGGCCUUUUGGUUGUAAAGCACUUUAAGCGAGGAGGAGGCUACUUAGAUUAAUACUCUAGGAUAGUGGACGUUACUCGCAGAAUAAGCACCGGCUAACUCUGUGCCAGCAGCCGCGGUAAUACAGAGGGUGCGAGCGUUAAUCGGAUUUACUGGGCGUAAAGCGUGCGUAGGCGGCUUUUUAAGUCGGAUGUGAAAUCCCUGAGCUUAACUUAGGAAUUGCAUUCGAUACUGGGAAGCUAGAGUAUGGGAGAGGAUGGGUAGAAUUCCAGGUGUAGCGGUGAAAUGCGUAGAGAUCUGGAGGAAUACCGAUGGCGAAGGCAGCCAUCUGGCCUAAUACUGACGCUGAGGUACGAAAGCAUGGGGAGCAAACAGGAUUAGAUACCCUGGUAGUCCAUGCCGUAAACGAUGUCUACUAGCCGUUGGGGCCUUUGAGGCUUUAGUGGCGCAGCUAACGCGAUAAGUAGACCGCCUGGGGAGUACGGUCGCAAGACU